UCAGCCCAGCUCAGCCCAGCUCAGCCCUGCUUGGUCCUGCUUGGCCCAGCUCAGCUCAGCUCAGCCCAGCUCAGCCCUGCUCAGCCCUGCUUGGUCCUGCUCAGCCCAGUUCAGCCCUGCUCAGCCCAUUUAAGCCCAUUUAAGCCCAGCUCAGCCCUGCUUGGUCCUGCUCAGCCCAUUUCAGCCCAGUUGAGCUCUGCUAGUCCUGCUCAGCACAGCUCAGCUCAGAUCAGCCCAGAUUAGCCCUACUGAGCUCUGCUCUCCUCAGCCCAGCUUAACCCUGCUGUUCCUAUUCAGCCCAGUUCACCGUAUUUCAGUUUAAUCCUGCUUGGUCCUGCUCAGCCCAGCUCAGCCCAGCUCAGCCCAGCUCAGCCCUGCUUGGUCCAACUCAGCCCAGAUUAGCUUGGCCCUGUUGAUUCUGCUUAGCCUAGCACAGCUCAGCCCAAAUCAGCCCUGCUCAGCCUUGCUAGUCCUGUGCAGCCUAGCUUAGCUCUGCUCUCCUCAGCCCAACCCAACCUUUUUUGGUCCAGCUCAGCCCAACUCAGCUUAGCCUUGUUGGUCCAGCUUAGCCCAAUUUAGUCCAUUUCAGCUCAGCCCUGCUUGGUCCUACUCAGUCCAGCUCAGCCUGUUCAGCCCUGCUUGGUCCUGCUUAGCCCAGUUCAGCCCAGUUCAGCCCAGUUCAGCCCAGUCCUGUUGGUCUUGCUCAGCCCAGACUAGCCCAUUCCAGUUCAGCUCUGCUUUGAUUAUGCUCAGCCUAGUGGAGAACAGCCCAGCUUGCUCCUGUUCAGCCCAGUUCAGCCCAGUCCAGCCCAGUCCUGGUCUGCUCAGUUUAGCUUUGCCCUUUCCACCCAGCCCAGCUCAGCUCAGCUCAGCUCAGCUCAGCUCAGCCCAGCUCAGUCCAGCUCAGCCCAGCUCAGCCCAGCCCAGCUCAGUUCAGC
ensembl:lincRNA